rnacentral:rRNA from 1 species
UAAGACAGAGGUGGCAAGCGUUGUUCGGAAUUACUGGGCUUAAAGGGCGCGUAGGUGGUGGCAUAAGUCCGGGGUGGAAGGCUAAGGCUUAACCUUAGAAUUGCCCUGGAAACUGUAUCACUUGAGUCAGCGAGGGGAUGGCGGAAUUCCAGGUGUAGCGGUGAAAUGCGUAGAUAUCUGGAGGAAGGCCGGUGGCGAAGGCGGCCAUCUGGCGCUGAACUGACACUGAGGCGCGAAAGCGUGGGGAGCAAACAGGAUUAGAUACCCUGGUAGUCCACGCCCUAAACGGUGGGUACUAGGUGUAGGGCUCGUAAGGGUUCUGUGCCGAAGGGAAACCAUUAAGUACCCCGCCUGGGGAGUACGGCCGCAAGGUUGAAACUUAAAUGAAUUGACGG